CCCGGGGCAAGGAGAGCGGAAGUGAAGCAGACAGAUUGCACCUAAUUAUAAUGUGAUAGCGAGUCAGCGGAAUUUGGAGCAAUUAGGCCCCUCAUCUUCCUGGGGGUUCCUAGCUCGGGGUUUCUGGUGACCUGUAGGAGACCCUUCCUGCUUCUUCCUACUAGGAUUAGGGGGUGGCGCUUCCCAGGUUACGAAGCGAACUUCGGCCGGCCGGAGAAUUCACUCUGUGAGCUCCCCUUUAAUGAGAGAAGGAUCAAGAAUGACACACCCCAAAGGUGUGCUCUGAAGUGAGCAUUUCUGUGACCCCUGCCCAGCAAGAGCUCACCCUGAACCAGAAGGGAAUGAAAUUCCACCAGAGCGCACAGGAUGAGAUGAGCUGGAAGAAGGAGGGAGAGGGCACCAAGCUGGUGCAGUUAGCUGGAGAGAGACUCAGCAUGAAAGCUGUAACCUUUCCGUGUUUGGUGUUUGGUAGCUGUCUCAGGUCUCUCCUGUUCUCUGGUAUCCAACACCUUUGGGGUUUGUUACCCCCAAUAUGUUAAAAUCCAAAUUGGUAGGUAGCAGUUCCUUUUGUAAAAUAGAUUUUAAAUACCUGAUGCAAUGUUUAUUUCACUAUUGGUUAUUUUGUCCAGGGAUUUUAUUUACUUGUUUUCUGUUAAUGCUGAUUUUCAAAAAUAUUGUAUGAAAAUAGUAUGCUUUCUUGCUUGCUGAUUUUGCAUUUGCUUAAUUUUGUAGCUUAAGUAAAUGCUUCACUCUUACAAUUACUCCAGUACUCUGACCCCUGAAGUUGGUAAUGUGCUCCAAAGACCAGAGCUCUGAUGAGGCCUGAUGGUCAGCCCAUCGUUGGGUGUGCACACAAUUUUUACCUGUGUGUCCACUGGGACAUGUAUCUGUCAGGACAGGCUAGAUUAUGGCAUGGAGCAAAAGGGUCCACAUUUUCAGUGGCCAACAUCAUGAAUUGAAUCCCCAGGGACCUUUCUUCAUCAGAGUUGUUCAGAAGUCUGGCUCACAGAGCAGUCAGCUCUUUAAACGUAGUCACGAAUUCAGGCAGGGGACAGAAGGGUCCCAAUGGCAGCUCAGUGCUCUUGACUGGGGAGUCUCUGUACUCCCUCACUCCCACCCUUAUCACACACAGAGUCACUGCAACACGUGGCCCCACAUCAUCACAAGGGGACUUGUGCGUGCGUGCGUGCGUGCGUGCAUGCGUACGUGCGUGCGUGCGUGCGUGCGUGCGUGCGUGCGUGCGUGUGUGUGUGUGUGUGUGUGUGUGUGUGUGUGUGCCUGGUAUCUGGAAGAGAGGCCUAGGAACUGUAAGAUGGAAGAGCCUGACUUAGAAACCUGGGGAUCGCCAGUGCAGGCGCACACUCUACAGCUGUGUUUGUUUACCUGCUACAGAAAGUGAGCAUGAAGGUGAAUGAAGGUCAAGAGGGGUGGCCCAGGAUAAGAGAAGUGGGCUCAAAGACAGCUGGGAGUCCCAACCGACCUGGGUUCAAGCCAUUCCAUACUGUGCCCGCUCAAGCCAGGUGGUGCGGUCCGCGGCAAACAGAAUACUUAGAAGAGCUAAGCUCGCAAAGUUGUAAAUCUGAGUGGGGACGGAACGACGUCUUAAGCACUCAGGCCCGGGCACUGUCCAGAACACCAUGUGGAUCGCCUUUAACCACUACGUGUCCCUCACGCCGACCAGGAGACACAACCACCACGACCCUGGUCCAGAGGCUCUGGACUUCUCUGCAGGACUUCCCUGCUGAGUAGCUCCGCCCCGAGGCCUGCCCUCUGCUUCCGG
rnacentral:lncRNA from 1 species